rnacentral:lncRNA from 1 species
UUGCUUUGAACUUGAGUCCCUCUCCUUCCUCCUCGUCCUUCUUUUCUCUUCCCUUCCCUUCCCUUCCCUUCCCUUCCCUUCCCUUCCCUUCCCUNNNNNNNNNNUCCCUUCCCUUCCCUUCCCUUCCCUUCCCUUCCCUUCCCUUCCCUUCUCUUCGCCCGGCAGAUGUCACUGUAGCCUAGGACUCGCGACCACAGCGGGCAGGGCUGGAAGCUUCCCCCACAACCCCCCCGCCCCGACUUUGCUCCCCUCCUCCCCGCUGCCCCCCCUGCCCCAAAUCCGCCUCCCUUCUCCUCCUCUCUCCCCCCCUUCUUUUCCCUUCUCCCAUUGCCUGUCACCGACUAGCUACAGACGGAGGAGGAGGAGGAGGAGGAGGAGGAGGAGGAGGAGGAGGAGGAGGAGGAGGAGGAGAGACUGGGAAUGAGUUGGAGACAGACACAGCCCUCCGCGCACACAGAUACGCUGCUGGAGACAGACAGGGGGAGGCGGCGGCGGCGGCGGCAGGAGGAGGAAGAGGAGGAGGAGGAGGAAGAAGAAGAGGAGGAGGAGAAAAAGAAGGGGAGGAGGAGAGGAGGAGGAAGAGAGGAGGAGGAGGAGCAGGAGGUAGGACACUUUCUAUCAGGCAGCAGUGGCAGCAGCAGCGGCAACCUCCCUCCGCCACCUUCCCCGACCCCUUCCCCGCAUCUCCCCCGUUUCCCUUUCCCCAGCCCGGGGAGGGGAUUGCUGCUGCAGGCAGAGGCAGCUGCGGGGCUCCGGGAAGGAGAUUCUGCAUGAGAAUGAAGGGACUAUGGAGAUGGGAAGACCACAUCCAGCAGACAUGUAAAUCAGCGUCCUGUUUCCCAGACUACCGGGCUUGCACCUUUCAACAGGAAGGCAAAGCAGAGGACCUUUGUCAGCCGACCCUUUCAAGGCAAGCACAGUUUCAGGGAAAGCUGACUGGUUGUUAUACAAUGAUAGUCUGGGUGGCAAAUACAUUU